rnacentral:rRNA from 1 species
AGCGAGCUGAAUUCAAAGAUCCCUUCGGGGUGAUUUGUUGGACGCUAGCGGCGGAUGGGUGAGUAACACGUGGGCAAUCUGCCCUAAAGACUGGGAUACCACUUGGAAACAGGUGCUAAUACCGGAUAACAACAUGAAUCGCAUGAUUCAAGUUUGAAAGGCGGCGUAAGCUGUCACUUUAGGAUGAGCCCGCGGCGCAUUAGCUAGUUGGUGGGGUAAAGGCCUACCAAGGCAAUGAUGCGUAGCCGAGUUGAGAGACUGAUCGGCCACAUUGGGACUGAGACACGGCCCAAACUCCUACGGGAGGCAGCAGUAGGGAAUCUUCCACAAUGGACGCAAGUCUGAUGGAGCAACGCCGCGUGAGUGAAGAAGGUUUUCGGAUCGUAAAGCUCUGUUGUUGGUGAAGAAGGAUAGAGGCAGUAACUGGUCUUUAUUUGACGGUAAUCAACCAGAAAGUCACGGCUAACUACGUGCCAGCAGCCGCGGUAAUACGUAGGUGGCAAGCGUUGUCCGGAUUUAUUGGGCGUAAAGCGAGCGCAGGCGGAAUGAUAAGUCUGAUGUGAAAGCCCACGGCUCAACCGUGGAACUGCAUCGGAAACUGUCAUUCUUGAGUGCAGAAGAGGAGAGUGGAAUUCCAUGUGUAGCGGUGGAAUGCGUAGAUAUAUGGAAGAACACCAGUGGCGAAGGCGGCUCUCUGGUCUGCAACUGACGCUGAGGCUCGAAAGCAUGGGUAGCGAACAGGAUUAGAUACCCUGGUAGUCCAUGCCGUAAACGAUGAGCGCUAGGUGUUGGGGACUUUCCGGUCCUCAGUGCCGCAGCAAACGCAUUAAGCGCUCCGCCUGGGGAGUACGACCGCAAGGUUGAAACUCAAAGGAAUUGACGGGGGCCCGCACAAGCGGUGGAGCAUGUGGUUUAAUUCGAAGCAACGCGAAGAACCUUACCAGGUCUUGACAUCCUGUGCUACACCUAGAGAUAGGUGGUUCCCUUCGGGGACGCAGAGACAGGUGGUGCAUGGCUGUCGUCAGCUCGUGUCGUGAGAUGUUGGGUUAAGUCCCGCAA